rnacentral:rRNA from 1 species
UACAGAGGGUGCAAGCGUUAAUCGGAUUUACUGGGCGUAAAGCGUGAGUAGGUGGCUCGCUAAGUCGGUUGUGAAAUCCCUGGGCUCAACCUGGGAAUUGCAGUCGAUACUGGCAAGCCAGAGUUCGGUAGAGGGUGGCGGAAUUCCCGGUGUAGCGGUGAAAUGCGUAGAUAUCGGGAGGAACAUCGAUGGCGAAGGCAACCACCUGGGCCUGAACUGACACUGAGGAGCGAAAGCGUGGGGAGCAAACAGG